rnacentral:lncRNA from 1 species
UAGAAAAAAAUGCACUCACUAGAAAAAAAGAGUUCUCAUAGUGACAUUAAAUUUUAUGGCAUCAUUUUUACCUAUAGGUGCAGAAGGCUUGCGAAUGAUUGAUUGGAAUAACUCCUACUCUAAACUAACCUUGAUGUGGAUCAGGUUCAAUGCCAAUUAAUUAGAAAUUUCAACAAGCCCAAAUCCAUGUUUGUUGGAGCUCGCAGCCAACCUGGAUGGCGAAAAUUUUUAUGUGGAUCAGUUUCAAAUCAGUUCAGGCA